rnacentral:rRNA from 1 species
CACCGCGGUUAUACGAGAGGCCCAAGUUGUUAGUUACCGGCGUAAAGCGUGGUUAAAAUAAAUAUAUUACUAAAGCCGAAAACUUUCAAAGCUGUUAUACGCACCCGAAAGUAAAAAGAUCAACAACGAAAGUAGCUUUAUUUAUUUGAACCCACGAAAGCCGUGGCACAAACUGGGAUUAGAUACCCCACUAUGCCCAGCCGUAAACAUUGACAGUAAUAUACAACUACUGUCCGCCCGGGUACUACGAGCAUCAGCUUAAAACCCAAAGGACUUGGCGGUGCUUUAGAUCCACCUAGAGGAGCCUGUUCUAGAACCGAUAACCCCCGUUCAACCUCACCCUUUCUUGUUUAUCCCGCCUAUAUACCACCGUCGUCAGCUUACCCUGUGAAGGCCCCAUAGUUAGCAAAAUUGGCAUGGCCCAAAACGUCAGGUCGAGGUGUAGCGUAUGAAAGGGGAAGAAAUGGGCUACAUUCACUCUCUCAGUGAAUACGAACGAUAUAUUGAAAUAUAUAUCCAAAGGAGGAUUUAGCAGUAAGCAGAAAAUAGAGUGUUCUGCUGAAACCGGCCCUGAAGCGCGCACACACCGCCCGUUCACUCUCCCCAAGCUCCCUAAAACAAAUAAUUAAACAGACUUAACUGCCAAAGGGGAGGCAAGUCGUAA